UGGAUAUGAAAUUCCGGGUUGAGAAUUCUUUUCUUUAAGAAUGUUGAAUAUUGACCCCCACUCUCUUCUGGCUUAUAGGGUUUCUGCUGAGAGAUCUGCUGUGAGUCUGAUGGGUUUCCCUUUGUGGGUGACCCGGCCUUUCUUUCUGGCUGCCC